GUCUCAGUAGCGCAAUGGAUAGCGCAUUGAACUUCUGAUCCGAAAGUCGUAGAUUCGAAUCCCACCUGGGAUG